GUUUAAUCCCAGGUCCAGUAGCAGUAGAAGCAGCUGCAGGGACUUCACCACAUUAUUCUGUAGUCCAGGAGUAACAUCAUACUGGAUUUGGAAGUUUUAGUGGGGUCAAUGAUGAGACGCAAGGUGAUGACAAACCUUGAUGAAAAGAGAGCAAAGCAUGAAGUGUGAGGUCAAGAGCAGAACACAAUAGACUGAGAUGUCGGGAGCCUGAAUGGGAAGAGGAAAGAGGGUAUGAUACCUCCAACUGACAAAUUAUUUUUAAUUGUCUCAUUUAUGAAAUACUUAUUGUCUCCUCUAUACCAUAUAUAAAUUUAUCUAGGACCUGUUCUAUGGCAAAAAAUAAUUCAGAUUUAUAAUACAUACCAGUAAUGAAAUAAAUGUAAGCCUUGCCCUA